CAUCCCAAAUGAAUCUAUAAAAAUAAAAUCUCAAUUUCUACCUAUCUAUCAUCUUCAACCCAUUCCAUUUUGUGAUAAUCAAAAUGACACGAAAUAAAAACAA
ensembl:ncRNA C08C3.8 ncRNA